rnacentral:lncRNA from 1 species
UGGGAGGGUGCAUUUGCGAGCCAGAAACCGAAAAUGAGCAAUAUUCGCAGAAACCUCUCAAGGCUUCAUUUUGAAUUCCAUGACCAAUUCCGUCAAUUAAUUCUCCCGUGAGAAUGACAAAGUCCAUACAUUUAAAUUUAACACAAUUAAAUUAUUUUGGUAAACUAACAAGCUCUACCUAGAAAGGUCCGAUGUAGAUAUGAUUGGUUUGCCGACAGCCAUCCACCUCUUUGUUAUGUGAAAAUUAUAUGUUUGAUCUGGAAAAAAUCUUUCGGCAGGACUCGCAAAGCUCAAAAUGAAUCGAUUUCGCAAAAAGUCCAUAGCAUUAUCGGCGAUCAUCUUUAUUUUCUCCGUGGUACUCUCGCCUGUUACUCCCGAUAGAAUAUCGCUAUUCAAGGACAAGAAUUUUCACCAUCAUCCAUGUGACAUUGAAGUCAAAGGUUGCAAGCCGGUGUGCCACGGACUGGAAAGGCAGGCUUCAUCGCUGCGAGGGAAUGCGUCUUGUGUUAAUUUUUACCGACGAGAAAACUGCGAGUCGUACAUAGGGUCUUGGAAUUCGACUAUGGGCGACCUCCGUAACUUCAAGAAAACGGACGCUCAAGAUGCAAUCGUGUCAGUCGGGGACUGCAAGCAACCGAUCGACCCGCCAAAUUCCAUUUCGUUCUACGAGCAUAAAGAUUUCGGCGGGAAGAAGUGCAACAUAAAGGUGGGAGGCUGCCAACCCAUGUGCGCAGAGUUGGACAACCAAGCCUCCUCCGCAGAUGGAGAUGCCGUUUGCGCCAAGAUGUACAGCGAGCGCGACUGCAAGAAAUAUUUGGGCGACUUAUACGAUUUCAAAAUUAGCCCCAAUCAAUACCGAAACUUCGAAGAUGACAGAACAGAUCAGUUCCAAGACAGGAUUUCCUCCAUCAGCGACUGUUCGAACAGAAACGUCUCGUUUUUCGAGCACAAGAAUUUCCAAGGGAAGAGGUGCGACUUGGAGGUGAAAGGUUGCCAGAGGAUGUGCCCCGAGUUGGAUAAAAAAGCCUCUUCCGUGAGUGGAGAAGUCGGCUGCGUCAGGCUCUAUUCCGAUGCCAAUUGCACGGACUAUAUAGACUGGAUAAGCGUCGCGCCUAGCGGAAGUAGGUACAAGAACUUCAAAUAUCGUCCUUCUAAAAGUGGUUGGGGCUUUAUAAAUGAUGAAGUCUCUUCCAUUAAGGACUGUAUCAGGACUGACAGUGGUAAUUUUGUAUUCAGCAGGCCCCUCGGCCUGCACCCCUGGGAUGUUCCAAAGCCGUAAGAUCGUGUACGAGACUUGGAGAGGGUGAUUCCUUAUGAGAAAGCCCAUUGGACAAUGAUGGAGUAAUUACCCGUACAUAAUACUGUUGCGAUACUACACAACUUCAAGAUGCAAUAUUUUUAAGCGCCCCAUGCUUAAUGGUAAGCAUGUUGCAACAUCUAGUUUCUAAAGUAUAGUUGCAGAAUAAUUGCUUAGAAAUCCUAAGGCGGGAAAGAGUCGCGGGGGUGGGGAUCUCCCCCUGGACAUUUUCAUUAAUGGAGGUACUAGAGACGAUAUUUUGAACUUACUAUAUGUAAGAGUCGAGCCUUUGAUUUGAAGAACUAAUCAUAUUUAAUAUUAUGUCAAAUUAUUUUCAAGGCCAAGUUUUUCAGUUUAGUCUCAGUGAAAGUAAGUGUUGCAAGUGCUUUCAGCCUGGCAUCGGGAAUUUGGUUGACCUCCUGCACUUGCUUACCUAGAAAUUCCUACUAUUUACUUUUCUUCCACUUAUACAUUAAUGUGGUCUAAUAUCAACAUUCAUUUGCUUCUGAGUGAAUCGUCCAUCUCAGCUGAAACGCACUCAUUAUUAUGAUCAGUUGCAAAAGAGGUGCGUAUCUGCACAAAAUCACGUAAUUGAUGUCAUGGUUUGAUUCAUGUUUAAUGUUCAAGAAAGGAUUCACAUUUUCGACCUGGAGUCUACUAAAACAACUAAAAUUAGUAUUUUUAAAAUUUAAAUUAUUUAGUGAUGAAAGUAUUUGAGUUGCGUGAUGAUUCCUAUUGAUUGUAUAGUCCUCUAUCAUUGAUCCUGUGUUUUAUAAUAUUUUCCCUAUUUUCCAGAGAGGGAAUUAUCAGGCUUAGCUGCACAAAAUUUUAGUGAAUAUUUGUGAGGGUGGUCUGAAAACAAAAAUACCUUUAAAUAAAGAAAUACUGGAAAAGGGACAUUUACUCGUAUUUUUUUAAACGGCUUACCAAGUAUUUAAUGCGAGAAAUUUGGGCCGGCUUCCUGUAAAUACUUCCUUCAUCAUUGAUUCGUUUUUUAAUUAAUUAAAAUUGUUUCAAAUCCGUUAAGAUGUGCUGUCGAAUUUUUCCUGAAGAGACCACGAAACGACUUUGCCGCAUUCGUCGUUUUUAAAUUAGAUCAAGUAUGGCCUGCAACCCGCAUUCUAGAACAGCAACGUUGUUUUACAGUUAAAAUAUCGAAGCAUCAUUUGGAAAAUGGACAAUGUCGCAAAA